CAGGGAGGAGUCUCAGAUAACUAAAGUCAGGGGCGCCGGCUGGAGAGCCGGUGGCUCCUCCAAUGCUCACACGUCCCGAUUUAAACAGUUCAGGGAGGGCCCAGAACCUAGACCUCCACCAGUCAUGGUGGGCUGUGUCGCCCAUCUCCCCGGGGCAACCCAGAUCCAGCCCCUAAUCUACUCCCGACCCAUUCCUGUGUAGGCACCAGGACCCUACCCUUGCCCCACAGAGUGGCCGGCAGCCCCUGGCAGGGAGAACCAGGGCUCUGAUUGGCGCCCAACAGAAACAGGAUAUUCAGAAGGGCCCUUCUCUCCUGAGGGACCACAUCUCCAAGCUUCAGACUUCCAGGUACAUGCUAGCAAGGGUACAAAGCCCGCAGUGGCAGACAGGAGGCGGGUCCCAGCUCAGCUGUGCCCUGGUGUGUGGCAUGACCCUGAACAUGACACCCACUCUCUGGGUCUCCGUUUCUGUAUCUGGGGGCAGAUGGCAGGAUGGGAUUCAGUCUGGAAAUCCAUGGGUGGUCACUUCCCCUUGGUGGGACGGGGCAGGGGUCUGCCUCCUAAGGGGAGUGGUUGGGGAGCUCCUGCGUUCCUGGCAUCUCAUCACGGUUUCUCCCCUCCUCAGGUGCUGUGGCUCUGUGAUGAUCUCCCCUUUCCCUCCCCCAUUCACCUGUCUAGGGCUUUAACUGAAAUUAAAAUCCUGUACAAAGUGCAGAGGACAGAAUGUUAGAACUGGUCAGACCCUCGGAAACCAGUUAAUUAUUCCCUGUGUUUCACAGACAAGUCCCAGGGCACCGAUGUGACCCAUUAUGAACAGGCAGUGAGUCUGUGGCAGGGCUGGAGCUGCCCUGGCCUCUGGCAUUAUCCCCGAGGGCUGGAGCUCAGUCCCCACUACAGGCUUUUCUGGACCCCACGUCCGCAGGCAGGUGCAUCUGAUGAAGCUGUCGGCCACAGAACCAGCACAGAAACAGCUUCCUCCAGGAAGCCUUCCCUGGCCCACCUGAACAAUCAUUUUCUCCUCUGGGCUAUUGAGCAACCUGUAUAUCCUUCCAUCACACCAACGCUGUGCUGAUUUUUGUCUGAGAAAGAAUCUGUUCUCCGUCCUUCACCAACAGACCGUAAGCCUCGAGGGCCCAUACCCUUUCUGAUUCAUCUCCACGAGCCAGUACAGAGGAGGUGCUCAAAGAAUGUUUGUUGAUUGAGUAAAUGAUGUUUAGCAGGUGCCCAGGAAAUGUACAUUGAUUUGCAUCAUGUGUCUGUUGCUCUGAAUGACGCAGAAACGAGAUUCCUCUCCUGGUCCCUCUGGAAAAGGCAUUUUCUUCCUGAUUGACUCCACCCUCCAUUAGCUUCCACCUGCUAUUUGCCUCCACCCUUUGAUUAGCCUUCCCGGCAGGUCACCACCCACGGUGGGGAGAAGGCACCUCCUCUCUGCUCUUGCUGUUGCCAAGCUGGGGACUGGUUGGGGCCCCUGUUCCCUCCCCCAGCCCGAGCCUGCCUUUGCUCAGAACACUUCGUCUCUCUCUCUCCUGCUCAGAACAGAUGGUUCUGAGUCCCCACUAACACAGAAGUUCCUGUUCUGCCAUUUGAACAUUUUUAACACUUUCUACAUUAUAGAAGCUUCAGUCUCCUUUCAUCAUGGAUUCAGACUAUCAGAAAUAAAGACUCCACUGAAGGGCAUUGAGUCCAGCCUCUUCCCCAUCCCAUGGAGACGCUGCGUCUCAGAGAUGCCACUGGCCUGCCCAAGAUAUUGUAGUGGAUGCUACCUUUGUUUUCGUUUUCGGUCGUCUUGUUUUCUUUCUUUCUUUUUUUU